ensembl:snRNA U4 U4 spliceosomal RNA
GGCUUUGUGCAGUGGCAGUAUUGUGGCCAAUGAGGUUAAUCCAAGGCACAAUUAUUGCUAAUUGUGCUACUCCGCCAUGACGACUUGAAAUAUGCUAGCUCUUGUAACAAAAAAUGUCACUUUCUCAUCUUCCCAAAUACUCUCUUUAUUGUCUAACAACUAUGUAGUAAGUAAUUACUUUCUCAGACAUGUUU